CGAGUAUGCCACAUGGUUCAAGUUCUCUUGAGUCCUCAUUGUGAAUUAGUUCGCUUUUCAAGUACUUUGCUUCUGAAGAUUGCAAUAGAAGUUUAGGAUGCAAGUGCACAUGUUGUGAGCCCUGGUGUGACCACUGAUGAAAUUGAUGUUGUGGU